rnacentral:rRNA from 1 species
GACGGAUGGUGCAAGCGUUGCUCGGAAUCACUGGGCGUAAAGGGUGCGUAGGCGGCUUGGUAGGUCUGGUGUGAAAGCCCCGGGCUCAGCCCGGGAAGGGCACUAGAAACUGCCAAGCUAGAGUGCCGGAGGGGAGAGUGGAAUUCCUGGUGUAGCGGUGAAAUGCGUAGAUAUCGGGAGGAACAUCAGUGGCGAAGGCGGCUGCCUGGCCCAAUACUGACACUCAGGUGCGACAGCGUGGGGAGCAAACAGG